rnacentral:rRNA from 1 species
AUUGAACGCUGGCGGCAUGCUUUACACAUGCCAGUCGAACGGUAACAGGCCUUCGGGUGCUGACGAGUGGCGAACGGGUGAGUAAUGCAUCGGAACGUACCCAGAGGUGGGGGAUAACGCAGCGAAAGCUGUGCUAAUACCGCAUGUGAUCUGAGGAUGAAAGCGGGGGACCGAGCAGCAAUGUUUGGCCUCGCGCCUUUGGAGCGGCCGAUGUCGGAUUAGCUAGUUGGUGGGGUAAAGGCCUACCAAGGCGACGAUCCGUAGCUGGUCUGAGAGGACGACCAGCCACACUGGGACUGAGACACGGCCCAGACUCCUACGGGAGGCAGCAGUGGGGAAUUUUGGACAAUGGGCGCAAGCCUGAUCCAGCAAUGCCGCGUGCGGGAAGAAGGCCUUCGGGUUGUAAACCGCUUUUGGAAGGAACGAAACGGUGUCCGCUAAUACCGGGCGCUAAUGACGGUACCUGCAGAAUAAGCACCGGCUAACUACGUG